rfam:Gossypium hirsutum cultivar TM-1 chromosome 20, whole genome shotgun sequence
GUCAGGAUGGCCGAGUGCUCUAAGGCGCCAGACUCAAGUUCUGGUCUUCAUGAGAGGGCGUGAGUUCAAAUCUCACUUCUGAAA